rnacentral:rRNA from 1 species
GACAGAGGAUGCAAGCGUUAUCCGGAAUGAUUGGGCGUAAAGCGUCUGUAGGUGGCUUUUUAAGUCCGCCGUCAAAUCCCAGGGCUCAACCCUGGACAGGCGGUGGAAACUACCAAGCUGGAGUACGGUAGGGGCAGAGGGAAUUUCCGGUGGAGCGGUGAAAUUCGUAGAUAUCGAGAGGAACACCGGUGGCGAAGGCGGCCAACUGGACGAAUACUGACGCUGAGACUCGAAAGCGUGGGGAGCGAACAGG